CAUUUCCGUUUACGAUAAUUGUUACAAAAUAUGUUACAUGCGUGCAGAUGUGGUAAUAUGACAUUUUUUUUCACGUGGUUUUUCAUCAUCUCGAUACUUUCAGAAAUUUACGAUUAAGAAAAUUCGUGUUUAUUUAAAGACAUAGAAAAGCGCUUCUAGGAAGAAGCUUCUUGUUUCUUCCCCGAGCUCCAAAGACCAUGGAUCGUUGAAUCAAGAAGUUUUUUCUUUGCUGUUUUUUGGGGAGCUCACAAGAAGUGUUGUUAUAGAAUGGAAAGUUCAGUUUUUUAUUCAGCUAAUCCUGCAAGCAGACUGCGUCCGCCUACCACAUUGUUACAGAGUCUCUUUGAACUAUGUGUUAUAGUAGGAAUGGAUGAAGACACAGGAUUGGUGCCUCCAAGAAGGUCACGAAAAAGUAGUGUAGCUAGCACAAGCUCAUUUGAUGAAGAAGUUGCCUUCAAUAAGGAGUUUGAAGCAUCCAUCUUGGCUGUACUUUCCGGGCAGUUUAUUUCAUUUCCACAGUCAAAAGAACAUGUAAAUGGUUACCCAUUCUACAAGCAAGAUCAUAUAGCAUGCAACACUCCUAGUAGCUUGACUCCACCAACAACAAGUGGCAAACUAAGAUUUACUAAACAUGUUGAACUACCGUUGGGGUCUGAUGUGAUAUUCAGUCUGCCUCAGUUUUGUUUGCCAGAUGGAGCAUUUGUUUAUGACAGUCAACCAGAUGAUGCUAUUUAUACAUUAGUGCUAACUGACAUUGAAGGGAGAAGGAGCUAUUGUAGCUGCCUAACUUUUUACAAACCAUACUAUGCCAUGGAGGGAAUGAAUAAUCCUGUUCGUUUCCUUUUAUCAAGUAAAGAUUUCAACAAGAGCAAUGGGAAAUCACAUAUUUGUUAUGUCCCAACAUGCUGUUGUCUCAUUUCCAAAUAUCCAUACUUUCACAUUGCAAAGGAUUGUUUAUCGAGCUUUUUACCUGUCCUUUCAACAUAUGGCAAUGAUAUGAAGGAAGCAAUGAUGAAACUUGUAUGCAAAUUAUGCCAAGUGCCAAUUCCACCAGCAGGGACGGUUACCAUAGAAUUCGAGUUGUGUAAUACGAAGCAUAUUAUUAGACCGGCCUCUGAGCCAAAAAAACGCAUCAUCAACAUGGAUUACCAUUUACCAUUUCUUUGUUUUUCUGUCGAUAACAUACUUCUGCUUCUUAGCUGUAUCUUGACACAACAGAGAAUCAUCUUUCUUGCCUCUGAUUAUUCGUUACUAACACCUAUAAUAGAGGCAUUGCUAAGUUAUAUCCAGCCGUUGAUUUGGAGUUUGACUUAUGUUCCUGUUCUUCCAAGUAAUUUGAUUGAUCUUUUGGACGCACCUGGGUCUUUCAUAAUGGGCUGUGAUAGCAAGCAUAUCUUGCAAGUAAAAAGAUUACUCGAAGCUCAAGACGAGGAAUCAGGUAUAGUAUGCGCAAAUAUUGACGACGGGGAGGUUGACUCUGGGAAGACAUUAAUUCAUCUCAUUCCUGAAUUAUACCGAGACGACUUCAAAUGCAAGAUCAAAGAUAUCAAACUAUUUUACGAUUUGGAGGAGGUGUCAAGCAUCUCUUUGCUUGACGCAAAGGAAAUGAGGAGACGACGUCGUACAUUUUACAGAGAUUGUGCGAAAAGCAUUUUGGAAGUUUGCAUGGAUCUGAUGUUGAAUUUAUUCAGUGACUUCACAUAUUUCGUCAAAGGACAAGGUUCGGACAAGAGUCAACAAGUACUCUUUGACCGUGUUGGUUUUGUUGAAUGCAAACCGGAAAAAGAUCGACAGUUUUACCGACAACUGUGCGCAAGUCAAGCUUUCAGCUUUUAUUUAUGCGAGCGCUAUGAAAAAAAUGAAGAGGACUUCUUUUCCAGUGCGAUAACAGAACAAGGCAACUUUGCUAAUCACCAUAAAAGAAGUUCGAGCUGUUUAGAAGUACGUCAUAGUAGAUCAUCAAGUAGUUUAUCGAAUGGCAAAAUCUUUUUGAACACUCAAGAGGUCUUCAAGCUGACGCCAUUUGUUGAAGAAGGAAUACAUACAGGACGUUUCUACGAGAAUUGCAUUAGAGAUUUGAAUAAUUUAAUUCAGAAAUCAGACGUUAAAGGUCCCUCUGUCGAAGCGUGCUACCUUUAUCUUCGUGGUAUGAUGUAUGUAGCGAAUGGACAAAUUUAUGAGGGUCUUGACGACUUUUUCGCAUUGUCAUCAAAAAGCGUGAGGAUUUUCCCCACCAACUCAAUCAUUGAAAUACUUAGUCCGUUUGACUUGACUUUGUGGGCAGAUUUGAAAAUAAAAGCUAUUUUCGUAAACUAGAUUUACUGAUGCGCAAGAAUAAGAAAGUUGCUGGCUCGUUUCGAGUAAGGAAGCAACUUAUCUUUGAGGGUGUACCGAGGUAUCCUGUGGGAAAGGAUGACUUUAUAGAGCGUGUGAUGUUGUGUCAGAUCACAGAUAACACUAAGACUGCAGAGAGAUUGUUCAGUGUAUUGAUAACUUACUUGGGUGGAAAAACCAUCCACCCCAACACGUUUUCAGAUCUCUACUAUACUCUAAAUCAG